rnacentral:rRNA from 1 species
UGAGGAAUCUUGCGCAAUGGGGGAAACCCUGACGCAGCAACGCCGCGUGAGUGAUGAAGGCCUUCGGGUCGUAAAGCUCUGUCAGAUGGGAAGAAUGUCUUGGCGGUAAAUAAUCGCUAAGAUCGACGGUACCGUCAGAGGAAGCACCGGCUAACUCCGUGCCAGCAGCCGCGGUAAUACGGAGGGUGCAAGCGUUGUUCGGAAUUAUUGGGCGUAAAGAGCGUGUAGGCGGCCGGGUAAGUCAGAUGUGAAAGCCCUUGGCUUAACCAAGGAAGUGCAUUUGAAACUGCUUGGCUUGAGUACGGGAGGGGGAAGUGGAAUUCCUGGUGUAGAGGUGAAAUUCGUAGAUAUCAGGAGGAACACCGGUGGCGAAGGCGGCUUCCUGGACCGAUACUGACGCUGAGACGCGAAAGCGUGGGGAGCAAACAGG